ensembl:lncRNA
CAGAUGUGAAGUUAAAUUUGGCCCAAGACACCUGCAGCAGUCUCAGCAGGAAGUUCUGGAACCCUAAAAGCACCCGCCUCCACAGCUGCUGUCAAUACCGACAAGAGCUACACAUACAUGCACAUCUUAACUACCUCUACACUGUGUUUUACAGCAGACAAAUUCUGAACUAAGCACUUUUUGGAGUGUACAUGUGUUUACUUCAGCCUUCUGAUUGGAACUCAGAAGCAAAUUGCAAGGCAUAAUCUAAAGAGAAACCGAACACGAGAAAUCAAUUUAUCUCCACACCCAUCCCUUCUCAUGUCUAUCUACACCGCUGGUUCUGUUGUGCUCAGGCAUCGUGUGGGGAAAAAGCCUUCUGGCAGCAGACGAGCUCUUCAGGUUAAAGCGGGGUUCUAAAAUAAAACCAAACUACCGAGAGAAUAAAGAGAGCAUUACGUUCACCGAGCUACAAAAUCACCAUCUCUGACAUCCAACUUCCUGCAAUUCACAAACACAGCAGCAGUUGUGUCCAGUUUUAUAUUUAUAACCCUUAUUUUUCUCCUCUCUCUCUCUGGUAGAAUGGUAGCCAGUCGUCUGUACACUGUAUCCAUGACAACUGAGUACUCGGUGAUUUGUAUUCAACUUCACUUAAUGUCAAAUUUAGCCAGAGCCCGGUGAUACUUUCAGUGGAAAGAAGGGUUAUCUCUCAAACACUGUGAUGUCACGAAUUUGACAUCAUCACAUUCAGACACACAAACGAUGCUUGGAGCCAUAAACCCGACCUCCAUCCUUAGCGAAGGAAUUAGCACCAUCUGUUUUUACAUAAGUGGUUUUGAAUGUACUUCUGAUAGAAUUUGUUUUAUAAUUCAAUAGUGAUGAUGGAUUGCAUAACCAAUAAGAGUGUUUAGCAGCACAGAAAGUGACUUUGCUUACAUGCAUAAUAAGUGCUUUUCCUCUGCAUCAUGCCAGCCCUGUGUUUCAUAUCAACACCAGGAAUGUCGAUCAUUAAAACAUGAAUCACACUUUUUUUUUGGCCUCACAGUGCUCUACAACAUAGCAAUCUGUACCCAUUUACAUCUCAAAGACCUGAAUGUGCAUUGUGAAGAGCAGAUGUGGAAUGUAGAAACAGAAAAGAAGCUCUUUCACGGUAAUGGACACUUGUCUCCCCCCACUUAGUCCACUCUCACUAUCUAUGAAGAUCCUGCAGCUAAGAAACCAAAUUAAAAGCUAAUCGAUGGGUUUGCUUAAUGCCAGUGGGCCCAAUUUGGGGAUGAAAGUGCUCUUUUGCUCCAUGUGCCUCUCUGUCCCCAUUCAUAUUGAAAUGAGGAAUAAAUAUGGUUAUUCAAGCUUUUACACAUUUUCAGAUGUAACCAUCUACUGCAUGCAGGCUUCUUUACUGUUUUGGAAGAAGGGGACUGCCCUCCUACGAGCCCUUUUUUAAAAUUCAAAUGACGGGGUAUUUGUGAAUUCAAUACACAGAAGAGUCUGUUCCAGUUCUAGUAGCUGAAAAUGUCGCUCUGUGGUUUUAAUGGGUCAACUGCAAAUAAACCAGAUCACUCAAAGUUGUGAGAUUGAGGUUUCUGAAGUUUGCAAAUAUAGAAACCCGGUGGUCUAUAAGAAAAAUCAUCUCUGUGUGAAUAAGCAGCGAGCAUUGAUUGUACAAUCUGACAAGAGUCUCUUUGUAAAAUAAAUAAAUACAUUACAAACCCAGGAAUCUGACUGCCACUGGCCAAAUCAGUGUUUCUGACAGGAUGCUGCGCACACAACUGAUGUCUUUAUCUCACGUCCUUUCACACUUUGACAUGCACAGCACGACCCCCCUGUUUGUAAGGCAGUAUGUGUGCUUCUGUUUUUGACGUUACAUACAUGAAAUAAUGUAGACGCUGACAAAAAACCUGCAGUCACAUGGAUUUGAUCACUCAGAGACAUGUUUGCCACAGACCACAACGUGUUGUUCAUACAUAAGAGUGGAUUGCAUUUAAUUCAACUUUAUUGUCAUUGCAUAGAGUGAAAGAGCAUAGGUAUAUACAAUGUGAUGCAGUAUUAACAGAAUGAGGAGUAUAAACAGUGAUAUGGACACACUAAGCAUAUGAAUAUAAUAAGCUGUAGAUGAUAUAGAUGUACUAGAUCAAGAAAAAAAACAAUGUAAAGAUACAUAAAUGUCAAUAUUAAUAUGGAAAUAAAUGACAGUAUGAACAGUAUAAUUAUAUUAUAUUAUAUUAUAUUAUAUUAUAUUAUAUUAUAUUAUAUUAUAUUAUAUUAUAUUAUAUUAUAUUAUAUUAUAUUAUAUUAUAUUAUUGGCACAUUGGAAUUCUUUGUGCAUUUCUUAAAGUCAGCUUUGUAAAAAAAAUGAAAGUAAAGAGUAAAAGUCAGAGUGUGUGGGUAUAGGAUGUAAUGAACACUUUUCAUUAUAAU